UUGUUGACCUAUAAUUUAUAUUUGUAUUAUCACCCCAACGAUCUCUAAAUGUGUAUAAUUCUUAUUGGUUUUCUAUAUCGGUUAUCGCGAUAAAAUUUGACGUAAAUAGACGCAAGUUAAACAAUUUUUAUCAGACCUCUUCAAAAUUUAUCUCUUAAAAGAUCACUCUACAUUUUACCUCAAAACCACGUUGAUUUCUUUAUUACAACAAAUUUAUAAGACAUCAUGGCGAUUAAAGAUCUCAUUGUCAGGACUAUUCACUGGAUUUUCACCUUUAAACAUAUAGUUCUCGCUGCAAUUGGUGCGGCUGCUUCUUACCACAUCAAUGGGUUAGAAAAGAAUUUGAAAUAUCUCAACGAUUUCUUCAUCAUUUUAAGUUGUAUGGCCGUCGUUGUUGUUGGAUUAAUUAGGAAGUUAGAAAACCUUUAUUUAAGAGGAUUUGCAAUGGCUUUACUUUUCGUUUUACUUUAUCUCAGAACUCCGCUUUAUUGGAGUACUUUCGCUUGGUUGGGUGUCGUAAUUAUGUAUUAAUUAAUUAUUAUUUCAAUGAAAUAUAGUUUUAUAAAAAAUA